UACGGAGGGGGCUAGCGUUGUUCGGAAUUACUGGGCGUAAAGCGCACGUAGGCGGCUUUGUAAGUUAGAGGUGAAAGCCCGGGGCUCAACUCCGGAAUUGCCUUUAAGACUGCAUCGCUCGAAUUGUGGAGAGGUAAGUGGAAUUCCGAGUGUAGAGGUGAAAUUCGUAGAUAUUCGGAAGAGCACCAGUGGCGAAGGCGACUUACUGGACACAGUAU
rnacentral:rRNA from 1 species